CACAGGUGGGAUUGCGUUUUAAAUAUUGAAUAGGCAUUAAGGGUGAUUAGGUGGCGAAUACAAACCCAAGGUUCGGGAACCUUGCCUCGCAUGGAACCCAAGCUCGGCUAGAGUCCUAAGAGGAGAGUUAGAGGAAUAACCAAAUGAAGGAUGAAAUCUAUAGAUAUUGGUUGGAACAUCGAUAGCGACAGCAUCACUCUAUUUUAGGACUGACACUGAAUCACUAAAGUGUGGGGAGCAAAACGG
rnacentral:rRNA from 1 species